UCAUUCCGUUAUGACCUUUGGCAAGUUCUUGCCUUCCGUAAGCCUCAGUUUCCACACUUGUGAGAUGGAAGCGACACUACCACACAGCUCACAGAGACAGCUUAUUGAGAGAGUCAGAGGAUGUAAUGUCCGGAACAUCACUCACACCUGCUGACAACAGCUGAUACCAUUGGGCAGGCUUGGUGGCAUCCCAUCCCCAUGAGCUGGGCCUGUGGCCCUGUGGCUCCCCAUGGCACUUGCUGCCAACCUCAGUCCUGCUCAACCCCAGGGACUCCCGGAGAGCCCCAUUUUCCAGGAGUUCCCAUUCCAAAGUGUCCCCACCUGAUGGAAAGUCCUUAUGUCACUUCCUAGGGCAAUCAUCGCUCAAGAACAUCGUCCAACAGUGGAUCAACCUAUCUCAACGUGCCCCAUUAAAUCACCUCUCCUUUCCAGUCGCUCCUGUGGGCAGACCGUGUCCGGUUUCAGCAGGGCUCACCUGCUUGUGCCAGGCCACGCAUGCCAUUCAAAAUACCCAAUAUGGACACUUUCUCGAAACCAAGCGUGCCACCCCACAGCCUGUCAGGCUGCGCCACGCAAACCUGGAGGGGCGCCUGCACAAACUGGCAGCUCCUAGGCCUGAUGGUAACUUGUACCCUGUGUGAUGAACUAUUUUGUGUUGACUCAUGGCCUGAUCCCUACCCACACCAAUGUGACAUCACCGUUUCCAUAGUAAAUAAUAAUCUUCAAAUGGAAUACAGCAGGAGCUGAACACAGAAUACAGCCAAAUGAGACAAACAUGUUCCUCGAACAAUGGAUACAAUGGUGCGGUAUGGCCACAAGCCUAUGCAUUCAUGUUCCAGAUGACUUCCAUAUCUCAGCCUCUGGUGCUUCCAUUCAACAAGGAGUGGGGAGGACUUGCGAAUAUGAAAACAAUACCCCACAACCUCACAUAUCCUAUGGGAGCAUAUAUUUAUAUAGAGAGACAUGACUCCCAUUACAUUAGCUGUUAAGACUUAUUCAUGCGAUCCUGCAUCUGGAGCAUGUGUUAAUCCUCAACGUUUCAAAGUAAGAAUGUGGACGUGAGUUCUCUACAGAAUUUAAAAUAGACCUUGGGAUCUUGCUCUCAUUCACUGCCUGGAGCCCUCACGUAGCACCCAGGGUACGUUCUCUUCACAGCUGCCUACAUUUUUACGCUGAUGAAUGCAAGCUCCUUAAGGGUAGGGGCCCUGCCGUGUAACAGAGAGCGUGAUUUCCCAGAACUCAGCACGGGGCCUCAUGGACAGGAGCAAGCGUGUACGUUUACUGCUAGAAUGACAGAGCUGCCCAAGGGAGCAGAGAAUCCAUGUGAUAGCAUGACAUCACCUAGAGGUGAUGGAAAUGGAGAAUCUCAGGCCCAGACCUCCUGAGUCAGAAUUCCCAUUUAAACAAGAUCUAAAUAAACAAACAAACAAACAAACAAAGAUCUCCUGGUCAUUCACAAGCAUGUGACGUCGUGAGAGGCCCUAGCAGGUCUACACCACCUUCACGUCCAAGCUUGAGAGGGCUACGCACCUAAGAUUCUGGUGUGUGUGGAGGGGCGGGGGAGAGAAGCCAAUAAUAACAUUUAUCGAGUUCGGGAGGAACCUAGGAGGGAGGUACUAUCGUGAUUCCAUUUCACCAGCUGGCACCGUGUGGAGACGGACUCAAACGUACAGAGGGUACGCUCAGAAGGCAUCAUGUUACGAGCCCCAGGAACCGGGGAAAUCUGCUAUUCCAGUAACACCUUGGAAGAAUUCCAACUUACACCAGAUAGCAGCUUCUGACAUGAAGCAUUUACAUACGGACAGGACUUAGGGCGGCCCAUAUUCCCUACCUCACAUGAGUAAUAUGUGCUUAUUGGGAAACAAUUGGAAAAUACAGAUAAGCAAAAAGAAGUAAAAACCACCCAAUGAUGACAACAUAGCUAUUAUUUUAAUAAAUAUUGUUCCAUAUGUCACUAAUA